GUGAAGCAGCAAUAGCUCAAAUUUGAAAUCUGGCGUCUUCGACGUCCGAGUUGUAAUUUGUAGAGGAUGCUUCUGAGUGGCCACCGACCUAAGUUCCUUGGAACAGGACGUCAUAGAGGGUGAGAAUCCCGUAUGCGGUCGGAAAGGCGCUCUAUACGUAGCUCCUUCGACGAGUCGAGUUGUUUGGGAAUGCAGCUCUAAAUGGGAGGUAAAUUUCUUCUAAAGCUAAAUAUUGGCCAGAGACCGAUAGCGCACAAGUAGAGUGAUCGAAAGAUGAAAAGCACUUUGGAAAGAGAGUUAAAAAGCACGUGAAAUUGUUAAAAGGGAAGGGAUUGCAACCAGACUUGCUCGCGGUGUUCCGCCGGUCUUCUGACCGGUCUACUCGCCGCGUUGCAGGCCAGCAUCGUCUGGUGCCGCUGGAUAAGACUUGAGGAAUGUAGCUCCCUCGGGAGUGUUAUAGCCUCUUGUGAUGCAGCGAGCGCCGGGCGAGGUCCGCGCUUCGGCUAGGAUGCUGGCGUAAUGGUCGUAAUCCGCCCGUCUUGAAACACGGACCAAGGAGUCUAACAUCUAUGCGAGUGUUCGGGUGUCAAACCCCUACGCGUAAUGAAAGUGAACGGAGGUGAGA
rnacentral:rRNA from 1 species